GACGAACGCUGGCGGCGUGCUUAACACAUGCAAGUCGAACGGUGAAAGCGGAGCUUGCUCCGCUGGAUCAGUGGCGAACGGGUGAGUAACACGUGGGCAACCUGCCCCUGACUUCGGGAUAACUCCUCGAAAGAGGUGCUAAUACCGGAUACGAAUCCUGCAGGCAUCUGCGGGAUUGGAAAGUUUUUCGGUCAGGGAUGGGCCCGCGGCCUAUCAGCUUGUUGGUGAGGUAGUGGCUCACCAAGGCGACGACGGGUAGCCGGCCUGUGAGGGCGACCGGCCACACUGGGACUGCGACACGGCCCGGACUCCUACGGGAGGCAGCAGUGGGGAAUAGUGCGCAAUGGGCGAAAGCCUGACGCAGCAAUGCCGCGUGAGGGAUGACGGCCUUCGGGUUGUAAACCUCUUUCAGCAGGGAAGAAGCGAAAGUGACGGUACCUGCAGAAGAAGCACCGGCUAACUACGUGCCAGCCGCCGCGGUAA
rnacentral:rRNA from 1 species